rnacentral:rRNA from 1 species
CCUACGGGAGGCAGCAGUGAGGAAUAUUGGUCAAUGGGCGCGAGCCUGAACCAGCCAAGUAGCGUGAAGGAUGACUGCCCUACGGGUUGUAAACUUCUUUUAUCAAGGAAUAAAGAGAGGCACGCGUGCCCUUUUGUAUGUAUCUUAUGAAUAAGGAUCGGCUAACUCCGUGCCAGCAGCCGCGGUAAUACGGAGGAUCCGAGCGUUAUCCGGAUUUAUUGGGUUUAAAGGGAGCGUAGAUGGGUUGUUAAGUCAGGUGUGAAAGUUUGCGGCUCAACCGUAAACUUGCAAUUGAAACUGGCAGCCUUGAGUACAGUAGAGGUAGGCGGAAUUCGUGGUGUAGCGGUGAAAUGCUUAGAUAUCGCGAAGAACUCCGAUUGCGAAGGCAGCCUGCUAAACUGCCACUGACGUUGAUGCUCGAAAGUGUGGGUAUCAAACAGGAUUAGAUACCCCAGUAGUC